CCACAAUUCACAGUUUAGUGAACAAACCUCUUUGCUCGCCAUUUCCACCUGAGCUAGUAAAUGUAUCACUGCCAUAUAGAGGGGAGUGGUACCAACCUACCUCUCGCUCGGUUCCGUGAGAAGCAGCCUCCCAUCUCGUGUCUUUCUUAUUCGGAGCAGACUUUACCCCUGAUGGCCUCCUCCACUCAUUCAGCAAGACAAGGGCUGAGUCACAUUACUUGGCUGCUGCAGGCUCCCAGCUUGUUUGGGG